rnacentral:rRNA from 1 species
UACGUAGGGUCCAAGCGUUGUCCGGAUUUAUUGGGCGUAAAGAGCUCGUAGGCGGUUCCGUAAGUCGGAUGUGAAAACUCAGGGCUCAACCCGGAGACGCCAUCUGAUACUGCGGUGACUGGAGUCUGGUAGGGGAUCACGGAAUACCUGGUGUAGCGGUGAAAUGCGCAGAUAUCAGGUGGAACACCGAUGGCGAAGGCAGUGAUCUGGGCCAGUACUGACGCUGAGGAGCGAAAGCGUGGGGAGCAAACAGG